AGGGAUGGGCCAUGGCUCAGUGGUAGAUCAUUUGCUUUUCAUGCAGAGGCCCCAGAUUCAAUGCCUGGCACCUCCA